rnacentral:rRNA from 1 species
GACGAACGCUGGCGGCGUGCUUAACACAUGCAAGUCGUACGGUAAGGCCCUUUCGGGGGUACACGAGUGGCGAACGGGUGAGUAACACGUGAGUAACCUGCCCACAACUUUGGGAUAACGCUAGGAAACUGGUGCUAAUACUGGAUAUGUGCUCCUGCUGCAUGGUGGGGGUUGGAAAGCUCCGGCGGUUGUGGAUGGACUCGCGGCCUAUCAGCUUGUUGGUGGGGUAGUGGCCUACCAAGGCGGCGACGGGUAGCCGGCCUGAGAGGGUGACCGGCCACAUUGGGACUGAGAUACGGCCCAGACUCCUACGGGAGGCAGCAGUGGGGAAUAUUGCACAAUGGGCGCAAGCCUGAUGCAGCAACGCCGCGUGCGGGUUGACGGCCUUCGGGUUGUAAACCGCUUUCAGCAGGGACGAAGCUUUUUGUGACGGUACCUGCAGAAGAAGCACCGGCUAACUACGUG